AUGUUUCUCCCAUCCAAUAGCAUUUUAAAUAUGUUUUAAGUUAACAAAAUCUGGACGAGCCUUUCCAAACCCAGGCCCCUGCUCCCUCGGCUGCGUCCACCUCCUUUGUCUGUGUGACCACUGUCCCAGGGACCAGAACCUAGAGAGCACAAGCCUGGGGGCAGCCUCCCCUCUGGACCAUGAGCUCCUGGAGCACAGGGACCUCCUUGGCCUCCCCUCCUUCUCCCUGGCACCUGGCAGGGGCGCUGGCACAGAGCAAGUGCUCACAGCUGUUAGAACAGAGACAGGGAGCACUGCCCUCAGGGUACCCUACCCCUUGGAGGGCCCGCAAGGCUCGGUGUAGCAGACCCCAGCCACAGGCCCUUCGGAUGGUCCCGCCUCUGACUUGGCAGGGACGCAGAGCUCACACUGCCCCUGGGCAGAGCACUCACCUUCCUGAAGACCCAGGUUGUGCAAGGGCCCUCCGCA
rnacentral:lncRNA from 10 species